rnacentral:rRNA from 1 species
AUACGGAGGAUGCGAGCGUUAUCCGGAUUUAUUGGGUUUAAAGGGUGCGUAGGCGGACGAUUAAGUCAGCUGUGAAAUGCCCGCGCUUAACGCGGGAAGCGCAGUUGAUACUGGUUGUCUGGAGUGCCGUUGCCGUGGGGGGAAUGUGUAGUGUAGCGGUGAAAUGCAUAGAUAUGACGAAGAACACCGAUUGCGUAGGCAGCUGACCAGACCGCAAAUGACGCUCAUGCACGAAAGUGCGGGGAUCGAACAGGAUUAGAUACCCUGGUAGUCCGCACAGUAAACGAUGAAUACUUGUUUUCGGCGAUAUAAUGUCGGAGGCAAAGCGAAAGCGAUAAGUAUUCCACCUGGGGAGUACGCCGGCAACGGUGAAACUCAAAGGAAUUGACGGGG